UAUUUCACGUCAUUUUCCGUGGUUUUCGCUCUGAUCGAGCCAGCUCAUUCGUGCUAAAGCAUAAGCAAAAGUUUUCUUCUGACACUUACUUUGAAUUGACUGGUAGAAAGUAUGUACCUAUCAUAUGGCAUUAGGUCCGCCCCAUGUAUGGUGGCAGGGGUAGAUUAGAUUACCUAUGGUAUAUCACGUAGGAUACUUUUUGACCUCGGGAACGCGGACGAAGCUUCUGCUGGUAGAAUCUAGUUUGUCAUAUUAGUCUGAUUUUGUGUACAUCAAAAUAAACAAAAUGAAGUACAUAUUACGUAUUCAAUGUCUUGUGGACAUUGAAGGUUAUGCAUAAAGUGCAUAUUCUUUUUACUUCUUAUUAGUUGUGACCUGUUUUCUCCAUUAGUAUAAAAUGGUGCAUUGGUGCAACAUAGUCAUCAGUUGUAUCUGGAAAUUAUCACCAUGAAACUCUUUGCCUUCAUCACGUUGUUCGUGUGCGCCAUCUUGGCUCUGGCCAGCGGUGAUCAAGGGUUCUACAGACAGGUGCGCAGCCCAGUGCCUGUCCAGGACGCAGAGCCACAACAACAACCACCGCACUACGGAUACGGAUACGGACGCUAGAGAAUAAAUGCGUUUUUUAUUUUAAAUUUGGACUUUUGUUUUGUGAUUAUUAAAAUUUUAUUUGGCA